GCCGUUCUAUUCCUUCAUAUUGUAAAAUUUCUGAGCCCCAUCACUUUAUCACUCGCCCUCUCUUUUUUCUCCUCUCAAACAACCAAAGCUCAAUGCGUAUCUUCAAUAGCUCUUCCCACUCUUCCAAGAAGGAGAAGGAGGAAAAAGAAUGGUUAGGAGCAAGUUUCAAGGCUGAGAAUUUUAUACCGGGUAUAGUAAUUGGUUUCAUUCUUGGGUUGUUGUUGGAUUUGUCUAAGCCUUCCAAAAAUACAACUAACACUUUGAAGAAGACAAGUCAUUUGUUGAGCAGAAAUCAACCUGAAAAGAUUUUGGCCCCACCUAAACCUGAUGAUGAAGACCUCAAAAUGGUAUUAGUUGUCAGACAAGACCUGAAAAUGGCACAAGGAAAAAUUGCAUCUCAGUGUGCUCAUGCUGCUACUGGCAUGUAUGCAGAACUUAUGCAAAGUGAUCGAUAUCUUUUGAGGCAAUAGGAACAGUGUGGACAGCCCAAAAUAGUCGUUACAUGCAAGAAUCAGCAAGAAAUGAACAAGUUGAAGGAAGCAGCUGAGAACAUUGGUCUUCCAACUUUUGUAGUUGCUGAUGCGGGACGUACACAGGUUGCAUCAGGUUCAAGGACAGUUCUUGCAGUUGGACCAGGAAGCAAGUCAGCUGUAGAUUCAGUGACUGGAAAGCAGCGUCUCCUUUGAUGAUAUUGAUAGCUUCUAUUGUAACAUGUCUCAUAUUUGAUCGGGUGGAUCUGCAACAACUUUUGAUGCAUGUGUCACAGAAGAGAUGCCAUAGUUCCAUAUUAGGAAUUGAUAGAUGUGCUAAGAUCAAUAUAGGUCACUUAGUAUUAUUCUCUUCUAGGCACUAGUUUCAGGUCAUAUUUUAGUUUUAUGGGAUGCAUUUCGUAAACUUGUUCUUGCCUUUCAGUUUCAUUUUGUAUGUAUAUGUCACUGGUCCAUAUUGUUGUUGACACUCGGCAUUUAAUACUGAAAGACAGUUCAUGUAUCUUAGAAGGUACUAUUAAUCAUUUAGUUGUUCUCA